GUGUCAGCAGCCGCGGUAAGACGAACCGUGCAAACGUUGUUCGGAAUCACUGGGCUUAAAGGGCGCGUAGGCGGUCGGUCAAGUCCGGGGUGAAAUCCUGCAGCUCAACUGUAGAAGUGCCUUGGAUACUGACUGGCUCGAGGGAGGUAGGGGUCUGUGGAACUUCUGGUGGAGCGGUGAAAUGCGUUGAUAUCAGAAGGAACGCCGGUGGCGAAAGCGACAGACUGGACCUUUUCUAACGCUGAGGCGCGAAAGCUAGGGGAGCAAACGGGAUUAGAAACCCCGGUAGUCC
rnacentral:rRNA from 1 species